rnacentral:rRNA from 1 species
GAUGAACGCUGGCGGCGUGCCUAAUACAUGCAAGUCGAGCGAACAGACGAGGAGCUUGCUCCUCUGACGUUAGCGGCGGACGGGUGAGUAACACGUGGAUAACCUACCUAUAAGACUGGGAUAACUUCGGGAAACCGGAGCUAAUACCGGAUAAUAUAUUGAACCGCAUGGUUCAAUAGUGAAAGACGGUUUUGCUGUCACUUAUAGAUGGAUCCGCGCCGCAUUAGCUAGUUGGUAAGGUAACGGCUUAGCAAGGCAACGAUGCGUAGCCGACCUGAGAGGGUGAUCGGCCACACUGGAACUGAGACACGGUCCAGACUCCUACGGGAGGCAGCAGUAGGGAAUCUUCCGCAAUGGGCGAAAGCCUGACGGAGCAACGCCGCGUGAGUGAUGAAGGUCUUCGGAUCGUAAAACUCUGUUAUUAGGAAAGAACAAAUGUGUAAGUAACUAUGCACGUCUUGACGGUACCUAAUCAGAAAGCCACGGCUAACUACGUG